rfam:Triticum aestivum genome assembly, contig: Triticum_aestivum_CS42_TGACv1_scaffold_129731_2BL
AUGAUACUCCCUCCAUUCGGAAAUACUUGUCGAGGAAAUGGAUAAAAAUGGAUGUAUCUAGAACUAAAAUAUAUCUAGAUACAUCUAUUUCUCUGACAAGUAUUUCCGUAUAGAGGGAAUACUAG